UACUUUCAGCGGGGAGGAAGGGAGUAAAGUUAAUACCUUUGCUCAUUGACGUUACCCGCAGAAGAAGCACCGGCUAACUCCGUGCCAGCAGCCGCGGUAAUACGGAGGGUGCAAGCGUUAAUCGGAAUUACUGGGCGUAAAGCGCACGCAGGCGGUUUGUUAAGUCAGAUGUGAAAUCCCCGGGCUCAACCUGGGAACUGCAUCUGAUACUGGCAAGCUUGAGUCUCGUAGAGGGGGGUAGAAUUCCAGGUGUAGCGGUGAAAUGCGUAGAGAUCUGGAGGAAUACCGGUGGCGAAG
rnacentral:rRNA from 1 species